GACGAACGCUGGCGGCGUGCUUAACACAUGCAAGUCGAACGGUAAGGCUCCAGCUUGCUGGGGUACACGAGUGGCGAACGGGUGAGUAACACGUGGGUGACCUGCCCUGCACUUCGGGAUAAGCCUGGGAAACUGGGUCUAAUACCGGAUAGGACCAUGGUGUGGAUACUGUGGUGGAAAGUUUUUUCGGUGUGGGAUGGGCCCGCGGCCUAUCAGCUUGUUGGUGGGGUAAUGGCCUACCAAGGCGGCGACGGGUAGCCGGCCUGAGAGGGUGGACGGCCACAUUGGGACUGAGGCACGGCCCAGACUCCUACGGGAGGCAGCAGUGGGGAAUAUUGCACAAUGGGCGGAAGCCUGAUGCAGCGACGCCGCGUGGGGGAUGACGGCCUUCGGGUUGUAAACUCCUUUCACCAUCGACGAAGGGUUUCUGACGGUAGAUGGAGAAGAAGCACCGGCUAACUACGUG
rnacentral:rRNA from 1 species